UAGCGUCUCACCGUGUGUCUGCCAGAUCUGUCAGUAAGGCUGUUUUAUCAGGUCACAUUGCCAUGGAUUAUGGAUGUUACUGUGGCAACCUGACAGGACUGGAUGCUUUGUCACAAUGUCUCUCUAUCUUCCUCUCUCUCUCUCUCUCUCUCUCUCUUUUCCUGCAUGUGAGAACUGAGCAGUGAUUUCUGAAGGGUCCUUCUAGCUCGGAGCCGUGCUUUCAGGCCGCUUCACUCCAUCAAACAGCUGAUAAAACGGUCCGGAGAGAGAGAGAAAAUGUAUACCGGGGCUUGUGAAAUUGACCAGAUAAACUCCAGAAGCAUAUUUAGUUGCUACAUUUCCCAUAAUUCUUUGUGGCAGCUAACCGAUGCUAACCAACGAAAAUUUGACCCCCUACUGCAGUGAACUGUAAGUACUUCACUAUCUAACGACCAGCAGAUGGACUCAGCAUGUGGAAAUCAUCUGGGCCACACACACAAUGCGCUGAUCGGAAGAGCUUUUGUCAUCCACCAGGUGUGACAACAUGCUACGUUGCUUCACCACGUGACCUCGGAGCUCAAACAGAAGUCCAGAUAAGGAUGUGGCCGCUUGAAUACCCCUGUGUGUUUCCCAUAGUUCAGUUCCCAGACUGAAAAACCUCUGAGUCAAUGCCUGAGAAUGCAGAGCGGGCACUGAAAACUACUGCAGUCUGCACAAAUGCCCUCUGUGUGACGAUACAUGCAGAUAAUAUCAACAAAAACAGCUUGAACCAUUCUUGCUGGUUUAGAGAUACAGCACAUACUUUUAAGGGAACGUACUGUGUUAAAUACAAGAUGUGACAUUCUGUCAUUAACCACACCAAACCAUUCACCCUCAGUUUGAAAAAAUAAAUAAAUAAAUUGUUUACAUUAAUUUGGUUACAUCUGAAUUCAGAAAUGUGCUGCUAGCAUUUUUGUUUAAGUGCUUAUAUUAGUUCUCCCAUGUAAAAUUAUUAAAGUUGUGCAUUAUUAACAAUACAGCUCAGUACUGUAAUAUCUAAUAUGAUCAGCUUGUACUGAACCCUGAAAAUAUUAAUUUAAAGGGACAGUUUGGCCAAAAAUGGGAUCCAGUUUUGUUUUGGGCCCCACUGACUUGCACUAUAUGGAAACAAACAGUUGAAAGAAACACUGUUUAAAAUAUAUAUAUUUUUGUGUGUUCCACAGAAGAAAGAAAGUCAUGCAUGUUUGGAAUGACAUGAGGGUGAGAAAAUGAUGACAAUUCUUAUUUUUGGGUGAACUGUCCUUUUAAGAAGUAGAUGGAAGUUGAUUGUCUUAAACAAGUAAACUGAACAAGUACUGACAUGUUUUUGUUGUUUUUUUGUUUUGUUUACAUAAACUGUGUGGUUUUAGACAUGUACUAUGGUAAAAAUCCUCUAAAAGAUGCUCUAUUAAAUCA